rnacentral:rRNA from 1 species
UGGGCAAGCCUGGUGUCAGCCGCCGCGGUAAUACCAGCACCCCGAGUGGUCGGGACGAUCAUUGGGCCUAAAGCAUCCGUAGCCGGUUCUACAAGUCUUCCGUUAAAUCCACCUGCUUAACAGUUGGGCUGCAGAGGAUACUAUAGAGCUAGGGGGCGGGAGAGGCAAGCGGUACUUAGUGGGUAGGGGUAAAAUCCGUUGAUCCACUGAAGACCACCAGUGGCGAAGGCGGCUUGCCAGAACGCGCUCGACGGUGAGGGAUGAAAGCUGGGGGAGCAAACCGGAUUAGAUACCCGGGUAGUCCCAGCUGUAAACGAUGCAGACUCGGUGAUGAAUAGGCUUCGUGCCUAUUCAGUGCCGCAGGGAAGCCGUUAAGUCUGCCGCCUGGGGAGUACGGUCGCGAGACUGAAACUUAAAGGAAUUGGCGGGGGAGCACCACAAGGGGUGAAGCCUGCGGUUCAAUUGGAGUCAACGCCGGGAAUCUUACCGGGGGCGACAGCAGAAUGAAGGUCAAGCUGAAGACUUUACCAGACAAGCUGAGAGGAGGUGCAUGGCCGUCGCCAGCUCGUGCCGUGAGGUGUCCUGUUAAGUCAGGUAACGAGCGAGAUCCCUGCCUCUAGUUGCUACCAUUGCUCUCAGGAGUAAUGGGGCUGAUUAGAGGGACUGCCGUCGCUGAGACGGAGGAAGGAGGGGGCUACGGCAGGUCAGUAUGCCCCGAAACCCUCGGGCCACACGCGGGCUGCAAUGGUAAGGACAAUAAGCUCCUAGUCCGAAAGGAGGAGGUAAUCUCCAAAC